UGUUUGACAUUUGUUUUGGCAACUUUUCCCGCUAGUAUAGAUAACUGAAACUAGUGAAAUCUGUUGACGUUUACAUAUUUCGCGAUGAAACUAAUCUUAUAAAAGUAAAAUAAAUGUGUUGCUUUCAAUAUAGUGGCUAAAAUAACUUUGUAAGUUUAACCAAAUCAUUAAAAGUGUAGGUUCAGCAGUGCAGCAGUAUGACUACUGAUCUGUGCACGGAAGAUGUCGUAGUCCAGAUCACAGCUCCACACAUCAUCUCGCCGGAGACGGAGGCGAGUCAGGGCGGCGGCGGCGGCGGCGGCGGCGGCGGCGGCGG
rnacentral:lncRNA from 1 species